rnacentral:misc_RNA from 1 species
GAUGAAGAACGUAGCGAAAUGCGAUACGUAAUGUGAAUUGCAGAAUUCAGUGAAUCAUCGAGUCUUUGAACGCACAUUGCGCCCCCUGGUAUUCCGGGGGGCAUGCCUGUCCGAGCGUCAUUGCUGCCCUCAAGCACGGCUUGUGUGUUGGGCCUCCGUCCUCCUCACGGGGGACGGGCCCGAAAGGCAGCGGCGGCACCGCGUCCGGUCCUCGAGCGUAUGGGGCUUCGUCACCCGCUCUUGUAGGCCCGGCCGGCGCUUGCCGACACAUCAAUCUUUUUUCCAGGUUGACCUCGGAUCAGGUAGGGAUACCCGCUGAACUUAAGCAUAUCAAUAAGCGGAGGA